GAUGAACGCUGGCGGCGUGCCUAAUACAUGCAAGUCGAGCGAACGGACGAGAAGCUUGCUUCUCUGAUGUUAGCGGCGGACGGGUGAGUAACACGUGGAUAACCUACCUAUAAGACUGGGAUAACUUCGGGAAACCGGAGCUAAUACCGGAUAAUAUUUUGAACCGCAUGGUUCAAAAGUAAAAGACGGUCUUGCUGUCACUUAUAGAUGGAUCCGCGCUGCAUUAGCUAGUUGGUAAGGUAACGGCUUACCAAGGCAACGAUGCAUAGCCGACCUGAGAGGGUGAUCGGCCACACUGGAACUGAGACACGGUCCAGACUCCUACGGGAGGCAGCAGUAGGGAAUCUUCCGCAAUGGGCGAAAGCCUGACGGAGCAACGCCGCGUGAGUGAUGAAGGUCUUCGGAUCGUAAAACUCUGUUAUUAGGGAAGAACAUAUGUGUAAGUAAAUGUGCACAUCUUGACGGUACCUAAUCAGAAAGCCACGGCUAACUACGUG
rnacentral:rRNA from 1 species